rnacentral:lncRNA from 1 species
AUGGCCAAAUCCAAGAACAAUAUCACAGAAGACCAGUCCUGAAAAUGGCACAGAAAUGGCUUCAAGACAUUCAGAUUCUAAGGAAUGCAUAAUUCUGCCAACAAGCCCAACAAAAAAGUCCUCGAAAAGAUUCAGGCCAACAUUUCCAAGGCAAUGAGCACCUAUACAGAGGCCAAAAAGGUGCUCCUCAAGCCCAAAGUAAUCAAAUUGGUACUCUUAAAAGGUACCAGCCCUGAACUGGAUAUCACCCACACCAUCCAUCCCAGUCUCUUUCCCAGCUGUCCAUACUGUCAACAUACUAAGCUUUGGCAACCAAUGGCCAGUAACGAGGUCAAGGCCAAGGCACAG